rnacentral:lncRNA from 1 species
AGGGUUUGUACUAUCGAUAGUAUAGUAGCCGGAUUAUAUAUAUAUAUAUAUAUAUAUAUAUAUAUAUAUAUUCCUCUAAAUAGAGAGAGAGAGAUUUGGAGAGGGGUGGAAGUCGACAACACCGAUGCCAUCGCCGGCCUUAUCAACAACGUGUAUGAUGUAAUGGAGGGGGGUCAAAGGGCAUCAUCGAUUAUGCUUAUGGCAUUCGGAAAGCAAAUAGUACACGUUUUAAACUUUGGGAAAGAAGAAGGUGAAUUGGAAGGAUGCCUUAUGAAAAGGCAUGGCAUUCUCGUUUUCCCCACUAUUACUCUAUUAAAUAAAAAAGUGAGGAGAUUAUUCUAUUAAAUGGAAAGAUAAAUGCCAUUACUCUAUUUAAAUGGAAAGGUGAGGAGAUUAUUAGAUUAAAUGAAAAUGAAAAUGGAAGAUGAAAAGAUUAGUCUAUUAAAUGAGAAAGUAAAUGGGAAGAUGAAGAGACGACAUUGGGAGAUAAAUCGGAUAUAUGAGAGGAAGUAUCUAGUAGAAGUGGACCUAAUAUUCAAUAGAAAGGAUGGAGGAAGUGAUAAUAACGCUGGUAGUUAGGUAGGCCCAAAUUCAACAGAAUUCUGCCACGUCGGAUAGAAGCCACGGGAAUUAAUAGUUUUGUAUAGUUAAUGCUCAUAAAUUCUGUUAAAAAGUAUUGAUCAUUAAUUAUCUCAAAACCAAUCAUAAUUUACCUAUUCACUUG